rnacentral:ncRNA from 1 species
UCAACCUCGUUGAUAGCAAAUUAAAAGGGAAUUCGGUGUAAAUCCGAAACUGUUCCCGCAACUGUAAGUAUUUCCUGAGUGAAAUUCAGGACCUCAUCAACUAUGAGAUGUUAUGCUUUAAGCCACUGAUAAUUUAUCAAAAUUUAUUUGAUAAGGUUGGGAAGGCUCAUAACAAAAUACAAGUCAGGAGACCUGCCGAAAAUUA